rnacentral:rRNA from 1 species
AUCUGGGCGGCGGAAUUCAAGACGGCUGGCGAGUCUCGCGCUCGUUCGGCCGUUUGAUAUUUCCGUCGCCGUGUCAGACGUCGCGACCUGUUUGUCGUCGGUCCUUGCUCGGAGGAAUUGCGAUCGAGUUCGUUGCGGGCGCGUUUCGGCGUGCUUCGCGGCGAAGACGCGACUCUCUGGCCGACGACGGACAGUAAGCAACGGUGUCUGGCGCCGUGUCUCGCACUCGGCGUCGGUGCCGGUCAGCGACGAUUUCUUCGGGCCUCUUUCCGACCCGUCUUGAAACACGGACCAAGGAGUCUAACAUGCGCGCGAGUCGCGGGGUUUCGAGCGUACCACGGUGCGCUCGUUACUUCCGAAACCCGUACGUUGAAGGCGUAAUGAAAGUGAACAGGGAAGAUGGCGUUCCGAGACCACGUACCGUGAUCGAGUAUCGCGGCCGGACGUCCGCACUCCCGGGGCGUCUCAAUGGUUCGCCACGGAUGCGGACGAUCGUCUUUCGGGGCGGUCGUCGGUCUGUGGCGGUCCGA